GUGUCUACUGUGGUGGUCAGUGGCGGCCCUAGGGGUGGCGAACAGGGCUAUCGCCCGGGGCCUCGCUCUUGCAGGGGCCACGCAAGGUAUUUUUGUAAGACAAAGGGCCUCGCAAAGACUUGCCGCCCAUGGCCUCGUAAAGA